rnacentral:ncRNA from 1 species
GAAUGUUUUAUUUUAGCUAAGUUCUUUACGAUAUUAUUGAAAUUGUAUGAAAGUUGUAGCGUGAACUUUGAUUUAAUUAUAUAUUAAAUUAGUAAAGUAAGUAAGUUUAAUUAUGAAUUAUAUGGUCUCAGCAUAAAUUAUUAAUAAAUAUAUAAAAGUAUGAAUUAGUAAUAAUAUUAAAAGUCUGAUAAAUAUUUGUGCCAGCAUUCGCGGUUAUACUUUGGGAUUAAGUAAAGUAAAUUAGAUAUAGUUAGAUGUUUUAGUUUUAAAAUAAUUUAUUGAAAAUAAAAGGUAAAAUUGAGCUGUUGUUUAUAUAAAAUAAUAAAAAGUUAUCGAAGCUAAUAAGAUUUGGUUAAAAACUAGGAUUAGAUACCCUAUUAUUCCAAAUAGAAAUUUAUAAAUCUAAAUUAGUAAUAGAUAUUAUCUUGAAAAUUAAAAAAUUUGGCGGUGAUUUAAUCUUUUUAGAGGAAUUUGUUUCUUAAUCGAUAAUCCACGUAAAAUCUUACUUAUUUUUGUUUUUAGUUUGUAUACCAUCAUUAUCAGGUAAUUCUUAAAGGAAAAAUUAUUGAAUUUAAUUGUUUAUAAAAAUUAGAUCAUGGUGCAGCUUAUGAAUAAGUUGAAAUGAAUUACAAUAAAUUAUUUUAAAAUGAAUUAAUAAAAUAAAUUUUGUUAUGAAGGAGGAUUUAAUUGUAUUAUAAGUUUAAUAAGCUUAUAAGAAAUAAGCUCUAAAUCAUGUACAUAUCGCCCGUCGCUUUCACCUAUAAGUGAAAUAAGUCGUAACAUAGUAGAUGUAUUGGAAAAUGUAUCUAGAAUUAU